rnacentral:pre_miRNA from 1 species
GGCAAGAAAGGGGAGCUCACUUCACUCCAAAACUAAAAGGAGACGAGGGUGACUUCGAUUGCUAUUUCAUGGAUACCCUCUGUGUGCAAGUGAAACUAGGAUCUGAGUGCUUGAUUGCUGUUCAUGCACGUCGAGGGUUUGCAUGACAUAGGAAACGAUGUAGCCUUGAUCCUUUUGGAUUGGCGUGAAGGGAGCACCCCGCAUCUUUGCU